rnacentral:misc_RNA from 1 species
CAAUAACUUUCGUAGUAAAUUACAGCUAUUAUGCUAGACCUCUUUUUUCAGUUACAAAAACAUUUGCUAAACAAAAGAAAACAAAGAAUAUAGAAAAAGAGGGAAAUUUUGAAAUAAAGGAAGGGCAAUAAACAUGAUACUUAUUUGGAAGAAAAAUUAGAUCCAUUCUUGUAUCCAAUAACUUCCACUCUUCACUUCCCUCUUCAGGUUUAUGGUCAUAUUCCCAUCGUGCAGUUAGUGGCAGAGAAACAAGAAUACUUUCAAUUCGACCACGUCUUCAGCCCAAAUGUUGUGCCCCGAUCAUAAACCAGCGGCAAAGGAAAGAAGCAUAUCUUGAUCA